rnacentral:lncRNA from 1 species
UUCAGGUGGAGGGGACAACUACAGUUCUUGCUGCAGCCACAAAGUAAAAGAUCCACCACUCUCCACAUAAUAUCCUCCUAACCUAUCUAUGUAUUUAUGGGGGGCAAAAUGGGUAUUUCACAUGAUUGUGAAUGGAAGUGAAUGAGUUGGGGCCAUGUAAAUAAGUGAAUGAGAGUCUUUGUUGGUAACUACUGGUGGAAUGGACAAGAGGAAGGGGUAGGCUUUUGUAUAAUGUAGGGGUACCUUAAAAUUAGAAUAUGCUUUGAGUUGUUUGUUUGUCUUCUUCGGUAGUUUGCACUUUGGACCAAGC